rnacentral:tRNA from 1 species
ACCUACUAUCGGGUUGGAACCAAUGACACAUGCCGUAUGAAAGCAAUACUCUGACAGUUGAGUUAAGUAGGUC